CCUGCUGUUACUAAAGAUGAACCCUAUGCUCCUCUUUCAAGCCAGUCUUUCCCUCACGUAAUUAAGAACACCUGACUGCGAAAACAAUUCUGGAAAGGAGUUUCAGUGAUGUGAUUUUCUCAUCAUCUCAGUGAAGGAAUAAAAAUACAUAAAUCCCACAAGGAACAAGACAACAUAGAAGCAAACCAUAGAUAAGAUGAAAAUUUGGCAAGUAUGAAAGAGCUCAUUUAUGUCAGGUCCAAAUACCAGAUGGAGGAGUAGUGACUGACUGCAGAGUGGAGUAAGCCCAGCCCACAUGCCUACAGCAGAAAGGUAACUUUCCCAAUGGGUUCCUGGGAGGACUUAGCAUUUGGAAGACCCAGGCACUGCCAAAGAUGAGGAUGAGGCAUAAGACUAAAAAUAAAUGGCUUGGUUGAAAUCUGCAUGUAGUUGGAACCUCCCAGAUCCCUUUCUCAAAACUAUACAUUCAAAUGACUAUCACCUGCAAAAGAUCAGAAGUUGAUUCUCUAGCGAAAUUGAGUAAGGCUUCCUGAUGUGGGGAGACCAGGCAUUGACAAUGGAGAAUUUAGCGAAAGUUCACACUUUAAAUAAUGAACCCAUUUUCACACCUUGCUCACACAAGACAGAUAUAUAUGCCACCCUACCUCUCAAAAUAUUGGAGGACUAUUCUAUUUGGAUACUGACUAGCCCCAAAGAAAGGAUUUUCAUGACACAUGUGGGUCUCUCAAUGAAGAGCUAACCUCUGCUUAACAAUUUGCAAGACUCAUCCAUGCUUACAAAACUUUGUAUCAAAUUUUUAAUACCUUCUCUCUAAAUUGAAUGGUCAAAAAUCACAGGGUAUAUGAGGAGAGCCUCUAACAUGCAAAAGAGAAACAAUAAAUGGGAAAAAGGAAUCAGAAGAAAAACAGAUUAUACCAAGAAUUAUUAUAACACUGAGAAGUGAAAAAAUACUGCCCUCAUGAAACAAGACAGAAUGCCAUGAAAAAAGAAAAAAGCAUUCUAUUAGUUAAUAUAUAAUAGGCUGUGCUGUAGCAACACUCAAUUUUCAAUGAUUAAGGACAGCUAACGUUUAUUUCUCAUUUAUAGCAAAUCCAAAGCAAUUAAAAGUUGUUCUCCUUUAUCUGGGACUCAGAGAUGCAAGCUGUUUUCAUUUUAGGACACCACCAUUUUUACAUGUGGUUUACAAGGACACCAGAGCAGGAGGCAAGAGGAAUGGACUCAGGCAUAUAGUAGCUUUAACUGCCUCAGCCCGAAAGUGACAAUAUGUCACUUCUUCUCACAGACCACUCACCAGAACUAGUCACAUGGCUCCAAUCUAACUAAGGCCAGGAAAUGUAGAGAAGCACAUGGAAUGUGUGUUGAGCUUCACCUAACUGUGACAGAAACUAUCAGAGAACAAGAAAGAGCUCAUGAAAAUGAAUGACAGCUGAAAUUAAAGAUUCAGUAGAAAAUUUAGAAGAUAAACUUGAGAAAACCUAUCAGGAGAUACAGUUGACCCUUGAACAACACAGGUUUGAACUGAGCAGACCCACUUAUAAGCAGAUGGAAAAUAUAGUAUUUGAAAAAUACAAAAAGUGCUUACACUUUUUCUGUAUGCAGAUUUCAUGAGGCCAACUGUGGGACUUGCAUAUAUGUGAAUUUUGGUAUACAAGGGGAUCCUGGAAACAAUCCCAUGUGCAUCCUGAGGGAUGACUACACGUUUUUAAAAAACAGAGAAACUUAAAAAGGUUUAUAAUCCAUCCAAUUAUUAGGAAUUAUGAAGAUUCCAUACAAAGAGAAUGGGAAGAAAUAUUCUAUAAAUGCCAAAAAUUAUCCACAAACUAAUAUAUGUAAGUCUCCAAAUUAAAAAGGCCCACUAACACAGGCACUCACCCUUUGUGCAAAAGCUAUGACGAGGAGUCAUGUGACACAACAUCCAACAAUCAGAGGAACGGUUUAACGGAAGGAAGUGGGAUGACCGACAAGUACAGUGCAGAGCCUGUUCAGUGUAGAGUAGGGUGUUGUGCCUUGUGUUUGUCACUUAACAUUGUAUAAUAAUUGCAAGCCAUGGAACGUCACAGCUAUUACAUUUAAUGGUUACAAAUAUCCUAUAAAAUAGACACACCAUAUUUUACCUAACCCUCCCACCAGUUAGACUUUAAUGUUGCUUCUAAUCUUUUAUCGUUCUAAGUAAGACUGUUGUGACUAUCUUACUGAGUAAAUUUUAAGUUUUAGAUUAUUUACUUAGGAUGGACACCCUAAAGCUAUAAAUAAUGGGAGCAAAUCUUAUUUACAUUUCCAUGAUUCUUGGUGGAUUUUACACAAUUGACUUCCACAAUUAUUAUACCAACUCCUCAUGCAUGCAGGCAUCCAUGCACAUACUUGCUUAGUCAUUGGCAUUGUAUGUUUUUAUUGUAAAAUGUUUUGCAAACUUAAGAGUAAGAAAUGUGUAAUCCCAGCACUUUGGGAGGCCGAGGCGGGUGGAUCACGAGGUCAAGAGAUUGAGACCAUCCUGGUCAACAUGGUGAAACACCAUCUCUACUAAAAAUACAAAAAUUUAGCUGGGCAUGGUGGCGCGUGCCUGUAAUCCCAGCUACUCGGGAGGCUGAGG